rnacentral:rRNA from 1 species
GAUGAACGCUGGCGGCGUGCUUAACACAUGCAAGUCGAACGGAAAGGCUCCUGCUUGCAGGGGUACUCGAGUGGCGAACGGGUGAGUAACACGUGGGUGAUCUGCCCUGCACUUCGGGAUAAGCCGGGGAAACUGGGUCUAAUACCGGAUAGGACGAUGGGUUGGAUGCCAUUGUGGAAAGUUUUUCGGUGUGGGAUGAGCUCGCGGCCUAUCAGCUUGUUGGGGGGGUAAUGGCCUACAAAGGUGUCGACGGGUAGCCGGCCUGAGAGGGUGUACGGCCACAUUGGGACUGAGAUACGGCCCAGACUCCUAAGGGAGGCAGCAGUGGGGAAUAUUGCACAAUGGGCGCAAGCCUGAUGAAGCGACGCCGCGUGGGGGAUGACGGCCUUCGGGUUGUAAACUCCUUUCGCUAGGGACGAAGCGUUUUGUGACGGUACCUGGAGAAGAAGCACCGGCUAACUACGUG